UGGAAGAUCAGCAAGGAGGAAGUCACUACGCUCAACGAGAAGUCCAACAUACGGAUGCGGAUCUGUGAAUUGCUUCUCCAAUAUUCCCAGGAGGAUCAGCUCAUUGUAAUGCUGGUACAAGGACGAGAUUUUGCCCAAGAUGGAGUUCUGU
rnacentral:lncRNA from 1 species